AGUCGAACGGGAAUUACUUUAUUGAAACUUCGGUCGAUUUAAUUUAAUUCUAGUGGCGGACGGGUGAGUAACGCGUGGGUAACCUGCCUUGUACAGGGGGAUAACAGUCAGAAAUGACUGCUAAUACCGCAUAAGCGCACAGGACCGCAUGGUCCGGUGUGAAAAACUCCGGUGGUAUAAGAUGGACCCGCGUUGGAUUAGCUUGUUGGUGGGGUAACGGCCCACCAAGGCGACGAUCCAUAGCCGGCCUGAGAGGGUGAACGGCCACAUUGGGACUGAGACACGGCCCAGACUCCUACGGGAGGCAGCAGUGGGGAAUAUUGCACAAUGGGGGAAACCCUGAUGCAGCGACGCCGCGUGAAGGAAGAAGUAUCUCGGUAUGUAAACUUCUAUCAGCAGGGAAGAAAAUGACGGUACCUGACUAAGAAGCCCCGGCUAACUACGUGCCAGCAGCCGCGGUAAUACGUAGGGGGCAAGCGUUAUCCGGAUUUACUGGGUGUAAAGGGAGCGUAGACGGAUGGACAAGUCUGAUGUGAAAGGCUGGGGCUCAACCCCGGGACUGCAUUGGAAACUGCCCGUCUUGAGUGCCGGAGAGGUAAGCGGAAUUCCUAGUGUAGCGGUGAAAUGCGUAGAUAUUAGGAGGAACACCAGUGGCGAAGGCGGCUUACUGGACGGUAACUGACGUUGAGGCUCGAAAGCGUGGGGAGCAAAC
rnacentral:rRNA from 1 species